UACGAAGGGGGCUAGCGUUGUUCGGAAUCACUGGGCGUAAAGCGCACGCAGGCGGAUCGUUAAGUCAGGGGUGAAAUGCCGAGGCUCAACCUCGGAACUGCCUUUGAUACUGGCGAUCUUAGAGUCCGGGAGAGGUGAGUGGAACUCCGAGUGUAGAGGUGAAAUUCGUAGAUAUUCGGAAGAACACCAGUGGUGAAGGCGGCUCACUGGCCCGGUACUGACGCUCAGGUGCGAAAGCGUGGGGAGCAAACAGG
rnacentral:rRNA from 1 species